rnacentral:tRNA from 1 species
AAAGCUUUAAGUUAAGAAAACUAUUAACCUUCAAAGUUAAAAUUAUAAGUUAUAUAUAAGCUUUA